AGGACGAACGCUGGCGGCGUGCUUAACACAUGCAAGUCGAACGGUGACCAGGACUUCGGUCCUGCGAUCAGUGGCGAACGGGUGCGUAACACGUGGGCAACCUGCCCCUCACUCUGGGAUAACCCCGGGAAACCGGAGCUAAUACCGGAUACUCUUGGCGAACCACAUGGCUCGCCAAGGAAAGGUCCGCCGGUGAGGGAUGGGCCCGCGGCCUAUCAGCUUGUUGGUGAGGUAACGGCUCACCAAGGCGACGACGGGUAGCUGGUCUGAGAGGACGACCAGCCACACUGGAACUGAGAUACGGUCCAGACUCCUACGGGAGGCAGCAGUGGGGGAAUCUUGCGCAAUGGGCGAAAGCCUGACGCAGCGACGCCGCGUGGGGGAUGAAUGCCUUCGGGUUGUAAACCCCUUUCGGCAGGGACGAAGCGAUUGUGACGGUACCUGCAGAGAAGCUCCGGCUAACUACGUGCCAGCAGCCGC
rnacentral:rRNA from 1 species